GCGCCGCAUAAGUGCCUAGUGGACAUGGCACCUGCCCGGUAAGCAGAAGGUUGUGGGUUCGAUUCCCGCCCCUGGACACU
rnacentral:tRNA from 1 species